UCAUUUCCUUCACAAUACACAUGAGCCUAGAAAGGGAGAGAGAGAAAAAAUCAACAUUAGUAUAGGUUCAGCCCUGACAUCCUAAAUGAGGCUCUAAAUUUUCUUAUGGCUCAAGUCAUCAUUCUACAGCAACAUCAACAUUCAUCUCCCAAGGAAAGAAUUGCAAACCUAUGUUCUACCAGUAACCUGGGUGUAACCUUACUAUAAAUGAAAACAUGCUUCCUUUUUUUUAACUAUACAAAAGAUUCUGAGUUAGGCUGCGCAUGGUGGCUCAUGCCUGCAAUCCCAGCAUUUCGGGAGGCUAAGGUGGGCAGAUCACUUGAGGCCUGCUUAUCUGUUUUACUUGUGUCCCAAUGUCCCCCAAAUACCCACCUCAUACAUGAGGCCGUAUGGGAUAAAGGUUAGUUAAGUGCUCAAGGGUCUGUGCCUAAUUUAGAGCCUAGCUCUGCUGCUUUUCUCUGUGGAAAC
ensembl:lncRNA novel transcript